rnacentral:rRNA from 1 species
AUUGAACGCUGGCGGCAGGCCUAACACAUGCAAGUCGAGCGAGCGGCGGACGGAUUAGUAAUGUCUGGGAAACUGCCUGAUGGAGGGGUAUAACUAAUGGAAACGGUAGCUAAUACCGCAUACCAUCAGAUGUGCCCAGAUGGUAUUAGCUAGUAGGUGGGGUAACGGCUCACCUAAGCGACGAUCCCUAGCUGGUCUGAGAGGAUGAACAGCGACAAUUGAACUGAGCGACGGGCCAGACGCCUACGGGAGGCAGCAGGGGGGAAUAUUGAACAAUGGGCGCAAGCCUGAUGCAGCCAUGCCGCGUGUGUGAAGAAGGCCUUCGGGUUGUAAAGCAAUUUCAGCGGGGAGGCGUUACCCGCAGAAGAAGCACCGGCUAACUCCGUGCCAGCCGCCGCGGUAAUAG